GACGAACGCUGGCGGCGUGCUUAACACAUGCAAGUCGAACGGUGAAGGGGUCUGCUUUUGUGGGCCCUGGAUGAGUGGCGAACGGGUGAGUAACACGUGAGUAACCUGCCCCCUUCUUCUGGAUAACCGCAUGAAAGUGUGGCUAAUACGGGAUAUUCUGGGUCUGUCGCAUGAUGGGUCUGGGAAAGAUUGCGCCUUUGGGUGUUUUUGGUGGGGGAUGGGCUCGCGGCCUAUCAGCUUGUUGGUGGGGUGGUGGCCUACCAAGGCGGUGACGGGUAGCCGGCCUGAGAGGGUGGACGGUCACACUGGGACUGAGACACGGCCCAGACUCCUACGGGAGGCAGCAGUGGGGAAUAUUGCACAAUGGGCGCAAGCCUGAUGCAGCGACGCCGCGUGAGGGAUGGAGGCCUUCGGGGUGUAAACCUCUUUCGCCAGUGAAGCAGGCCUGCUCCGUGUGGGUGGGUUGACGGUAGCUGGAUAAGAAGCGCCGGCUAACUACGUG
rnacentral:rRNA from 1 species